GCGGCCGGCAGGCGGCAGUGAAGGCUUUGGCUGUAAGCCGGUGGCGCUGAGGUGGUGAAGCGGCGGCGCUACCGCCCCGUGGCGCUCAGCCUCAAGGCUCCCCUCCCAGCCUCGCCUGAGCCCUCCGGGGCCUGCGCCGGCCAGCGCAUCCACCCGGAGCUCCCAGAGCACUCGCGGGUCCCCGCCGACUUCAGCUUCAGCGUCGGGGAAAUGUCUGAAGAGGAGAUCCAAAAGAAGACACUAGCUUCAGCUGUAGCCUGUUUAGAAGGGAAGUCACCAGGGGAGAAAGCAGCAAUCAUACAUCAGCAUCUCGGUCAUCGAGAAAUGACAGAUGUGAUCAUUGAGACCAUGAAGGCCAACCCAGAUAAUUAUGUCCACUGACUGGUUGCAAGUAAAACACAUGAUGGAAAACUAGUACAGUAUGAGGGUGAUACUUGCCCAAAGGAGAAAAUACACACCUUACAGUUAAAGGCAGCUUCCAGACCAGAUUUCCUUCUUCGGUGGAAACCUCUCAGUUGAAAUAGUUCACAGUAUUAUGCAUCUAUUCAAGACAAGGAGGAAGUGGACAUUUGAAACUUGAUCAUCUCCAGACUUUUAAGGGCCCAUUUUCACCACCUGAGAUCAAGGCCUUCACUACAGUUCCAGAAGGGAUAUGAUUCUGUACCUCCCAUUCUACCAAAAGUAAAAUACAUGGUCUGAAAUAAAAACCUGGGAAAAAGGACAAAAACAACAACAAACUCUACUUGCAGUCAGUUCCACUUGAAAAUCUUGAAGUUUCUCAUGUGAUGUCUACGGUUAAAAGCUAAGAAGCAAGUCAGAGCAAAACAGAUUGGUAAGACAGCCUGCAGGUUCAUGGGAGUCACCUCAGUGCCACCAGAAGGACUAAAUAAAGUAUGUACGAAUCUAAAGAAAGAAUGCUUAGGAAGUAAAUGCUCAAGAUGCUAUAACGUGUUUCUUAUGUAAUUGGAAAUUUGCUGGAUUGGGGCAUGAAUGCUGAAAUGAAAAUGGUAGAUUGAUUGCAUUUGGGGUUUUACUUAUGUUCCUAUGCCAAGGCCAAAGUUAGUGACGGAAGGAGAAAUUUAUUUAUAGGCUCCAAAAGUGUCAACAAGUUCUGUGCGAGGGCUUAACAGAGAUGAAAAAGGCUGACUUUCAUACUGAAGGGGUGACUUUUAUUCUCAUUGAAGACACUGUCCUCCUCAUACUCCAGCUAAUGGAUGAGUGGGCACUGCUCCCACAACUAGCUGCUGCUUCCUUCCAACUAGAGAUGAUGGUCUGUUCUCACUUCCCAUUGCUCUCUUCAGAGCAGGAAAAGGCUGUGAUUUCUCAUACCAUACAUCCUGGUAACUCCAUGGUACCUGCUCAUUGACUGGAACGCCUCUGCCUGCUUUGUGUGUGUUAGUUGCUCAGUCGUGUCUGAGUCUUUGUGACCCCACGGACUGUAGCCCUCCAGGCUUCUCUGUCCAUGGAAUUCUCCAGGCAAGAAUACUGGAGUGGGUUGCCAAUCUCUUCUUCAGAGGAACUUCCCAACCCAGGGAUCGAACCCUCGUCUCCUGCAUCACAGGCAGAUUCUUCACUAUUUGAGCUACAGGAAGUCUGCUUUAUUUGCUAGUAAAUUUCCACUCAUUUUUACAUCACAGCAUCAGCUUUAUCUCCUCUAGAGAGGCUAGUCUUUCUUUUCCUGGAAGACUCUGGUACUAUUUUUUUUUUUUCCAUUUUCACUGCUUCUUAUCCAUACCUUCACUAGACGACUUACCCCAUCACAGUUCCUCUUGACUCUACCUACUCCUCUCCAUGUAAACUCAUUAAGGAAAGGCCUGUCUUAUUUCAUUUUCAUGUCUAUCCAUCCCCUAGGACCUGGCAUAAUAUCUAGACACACAGCAGGUGCUCAGUAAAAACAUGAGUUGGAGGAAUUCCCUUGGCUUCCCUAGUGCCUCAGACAGUAAAGAAUCUGCCUGCAAUGCAGGAGACCUGGGUUUGAUCCCUGGGUCGGGGAGAUCCCUUAGAGAAGGGAAUGGCUACCCACUUCAGUAUUCUUGCCUGGAGAAUUCCAUGGUCAGUGGAGCCUGGUGGGUUACAAUCCACAGGGUUGCAGAGAGUCAGACAUGACUGAACGAAUAACACUUCUUUUUACUUCAUGUGCGCCUAACAGUUAGGAUUCCUGGCUUUCACUGCUGUGGCCCUGGUUCAAUCCCUGGUCAGGAAACAGAGAUCCUGCAAGGUGUGUGACAAGGCCAAAAAUCAGAAAAGAAAUAUAAGUUGAAGGGAUGAAUAGACUGGAUGAAUCAGAAAAUAGGGGAACACAAGUGGCAGGCAUAGCAUUUGGCAGCUACAGAGUACUGUAACAAGCCCGUUUUGCCCAUCUCUAAUGAAUAAUUC